UCUCCGUUGGUGAACCAGCGGAGGGAUCAUUACAGAGUUAUCUAACUCCCAAACCCAUGUGAACUUACCUUUGUUGCCUCGGCAGAAGCUGCUCGGUGCACCCUACCUUGGAACGGCCUACCCUGUAGCGCCUUACCCUGGAACGGCUUACCCUGUAGCGCCCCGCCGGUGGAUUUUCAAACUCUUGUUAUUUUAUUGUAAUCUGAGCGUCUUAUUUUAAUAAGUCAAAACUUUCAACAACGGAUCUCUUGGUUCUGGCAUCGAUGAAGAACGCAGC
rnacentral:misc_RNA from 1 species